UACGGGGGGGCAAGCGUUGUUCGGAAUUACUGGGCGUAAAGGGUUCGUAGGUGGCUCGCUAAGUCAGACGUGAAAUCCCUCAGCUUAACUGGGGAACUGCGUCUGAGACUGGCCAGAGCUCGAGGUGCGAGGAGAGGAACGCGGAAUUCAGGUGUAGCGGUGAAAUGCGUAGAUAUCUGGAGGAACACCGGUGGCGAAGGCGGCGUUCUGGACUGCAACUGACACUGAGGAACGAAAGCCAGGGGAGCAAACGGG
rnacentral:rRNA from 1 species